AGGACGAACGCUGGCGGCGCGCUUAAUACAUGCAAGUCGAGCGAGAACCGGACCUUCGGGUCCGGGGAAAGCGGCGAACGGGUGAGUAACACGUGGGUAAUCUGCCCUCGGUACUGGGAUAGCCCGGGGAAACCCGGAUUAAUACCGGAUAGCCUUUCGAGCUCUCGGGCUCGUUAGAAAAUGGUGGCUUCGGCUUCCGACUGAGGAUGAGCCCGCGGCGGAUUAGCUUGUUGGUGAGGUAAUGGCUCACCAAGGCUCCGAUCCGUAGCUGGUCUGAGAGGACGAUCAGCCACACGUGGGACUGAGACACGGCCCAGACUCCUACGGGAGGCAGCAGUAGGGAAUCUGCGCAAUGGGACAAGCCUGACGCAGCGACGCCGCGUGGACGGAAGAACGGCCGUUCGGGUUAGUAAACCG
rnacentral:rRNA from 1 species